rnacentral:rRNA from 1 species
UACGGAGGGUGCAAGCGUUAUCCGGAUUCACUGGGUUUAAAGGGUGCGUAGGCGGGCAGGUAAGUCCGUGGUGAAAUCUCUGAGCUUAACUCAGAAACUGCCAUGGAUACUAUUUGUCUUGGAAUACCGUGGAGAUGAGCGGAAUAUGUCAUGUAGCGGUGAAAUGCUUAGAUAUGACAUAGAACACCAAUUGCGAAGGCAG